ACCUGGUCGAUCCUGCCGGACCCGACUGCUAUCAGAGUGGGACUAAGCCAUGCGAGUCAACAUAGCAAUAUGUGGCAUACGGCUCAGUAACACGUAGUCAACAUGCCCAGGGGACGUGGAUAACCUCGGGAAACUGAGGAUAAACCGCGAUAAGUCACUACUUCUGGAAUGGGUAAUGACUCAAAUCUAUAUGGCCCCUGGAUUGGACUGCGGCCGAUCAGGCUGUUGGUGAGGUAAUGGCCCGCCAAACCUGUAACCGGUACGGGCUCUGAGAGGAGGAGCCCGGAGAUGGGCACUGAGACAAGGGCCCAGGCCCUAUGGGGCGCAGCAGGCGCGAAACCUCUGCAAUAGGCGAAAGCUUGACAGGGUUACUCUGAGUGAUUUCCGUUAAGGAAAUCUUUUGGCACCUCUAAAAAUGGUGCAGAAUAAGGGGUGGGCAAGUCUGGUGUCAGCCGCCGCGGUAAUACCAGCACCCCGAGUGGUCGGGACGUUUAUUGGGCCUAAAGCAUCCGUAGCCGGUUCUACAAGUCUUCCGUUAAAUCCAACUGCUUAACAGGUGGGCUGCGGAAGAUACUAUAGAGCUAGGAGGCGGGAGAGGCAAGCGGUACUCGAUGGGUAGGGGUAAAAUCCGUUGAUCCAUUGAAGGCCACCAGUGGCGAAGGCGGCUUGCCAGAACGCGCUCGACGGUGAGGGAUGAAAGCUGGGGGAGCAAACCGGAUUAGAUACCCGGGUAGUCCCAGCUGUAAACGAUGCAGACUCAGUGAUGAGUUGGCUAUAUGCCAACUCAGUGCCGCAGGGAAGCCGUUAAGUUUGCCGCCUGGGGAGUACGGUCGCAAGACUGAAACUUAAAGGAAUUGGCGGGGGAGCACCACAAGGGGUGAAGCCUGCGGUUCAAUUGGAUUCAACGCCGGAAUCGAAUUC
rnacentral:rRNA from 1 species